rnacentral:rRNA from 1 species
CAGCCGCCGCGGUAUUGCGAAGGGUGCAAGCGUUAAUCGGAAUUACUGGGCGUAAAGCGUGCGUAGGCGGUUUGUUAAGUCUGUUGUGAAAUCCCCGGGCUCAACCUGGGAAUGGCAAUGGAUACUGGCAAGCUAGAGUGUGUCAGAGGAUGGUGGAAUUCCCGGUGUAGCGGUGAAAUGCGUAGAGAUCGGGAGGAACAUCAGUGGCGAAGGCGGCCAUCUGGGACAACACUGACGCUGAGGCACGAAAGCGUGGGGAGCAAACAGGAUUAGAUACCCGCGUAGUCCCUGUCUCUUAUAC